rnacentral:misc_RNA from 1 species
UUUUAGCCCAGAUCGAAAUGGAAACCCCGGAUUGAGAAUGCUGUUUUUUCUUGCGUUUUCAGAGGGACCAAAGGAAGCUCCUGAAAACGUAAUAGAAAAAAAGCUUUUCGAACGAGGAGUUGUAAUGGAGUGCUGGAAUUGCU